AUGGGCGACACGGGGUCACCGCAGCACCACGAGGGGGAUGGAAAUGAGCAGCCAGGAGGUGCUGAGAGCGCUGGCGGGGCUAACGCCAGCGGCAGUGAGGUGGAAGCUGAGGUGGGUGAAGGACGGGGUGCAGUGAACCCUGACGGGGACGAUCCUGGGGUGCUAGCGAAAGAAGAAAGCUUGCAGCAGCAAAAACGGGGGAAGGAGAAGAGGAGUCAGGCUGAGCAGACAGACAGCUCCGUCAAUGUUUUUAAAAGCAGGGAGACGGUGGACCGCACGCAGCAGACGGACCAGCCGGGGAGCGAGGCAGCGAGCAGCCCGCGUCCCCCGUCCCAGCAGGGUCGGCCCAGCCCCGCAUCCUCAAGGGCAGCCAUGGAGCCUGCUGCGGCGCUGGGCCAGAGCCCCGAAGAGGGGAUCGCCUGGAUCAACCCCCGCACAAACACGGAGGUGACAAGCAGAAGCCAGCAGACAAGUCUGGUCUGGAGCAGGAAAGCUCUUGCGGAAAUCCUGAGGUCCCCCGCUGAAAAAUCUGAGAGCAGCAUUGAUACAGGGAAUGAACUGGGAAACAGCGCUGAAGAGGGAAUUUCAGACCCAUGUCCUGAAACAGCUGUACAAGAGGGGCAGCCAACAAGACGGGCGUCACGGCGUGGCAGUGAGCAGGUCCCAGGACAGACAUCGCGUCGUGGCAGCAAGCAGGUCCUGGGACAGGAGUCGCAACGUGGCAGUGAACAGCCUGUAGAAGAGGAGUCAGAGCAACCUGAUCAACAAAUUGAGGGCUCCGUGUUGCCUUGUGACAAUGAACUGCUCCUGGUGAAAGAACUGGAAUUUGCUAAUCUCCAAGAAAUAGAGCUUGUGAUGGAGGAAAAUAAACAAAGCAAUACGUUGCUUGAAGGUUUGACUAAUAAAGCUCAGCAGACAUACAGUUUUGUCUCUCUGGGUGAAGAGACUUGGCUAAGCAGAAGAACAGGUAAUGUAAUGAUGAGUCAUGGCCAGCAAACAAGUGACACCUGGAUAAAAAAAGUUCAGGCCACAGGAGAAAACCAUAUAUUGCAGCAGUCCCAUUGCACCAUAGUUAGGCUAGAGAAAGCUCAGUAG
rnacentral:lncRNA from 1 species